AUGACAGCUAUGAAUCACCGAAGUAGGUCAAAGGGCAACGAUAAAGAAACUUGACGGUUGCUGCAAGUCAAGCGUCCCAACUGACUGAAUUACAGUGUGGAGCGACCCAGCAGAUUGCUGGCGGGUCAUGCCGAUAUCCAUGUCGAGCGACGUUAUCAUAAUAUAACGUAACUUGGGUGGUAACGCGGAAUUAAUUUCGUCCCUAUU
rnacentral:ncRNA from 1 species